rnacentral:misc_RNA from 1 species
GUACUCACCCUUAGCCUUCAGAUGUAUGGUUGCCGAGUAAUCCAGAAGGCCAUAGAGAUGGUUGAUCUGGAUCAGCAGACUAAAAUGGUCGCCGAGCUUGACGGUCAGGUUAUGCGCUGCGUUAGAGAUCAAAAUGGGAAUCAUGUAAUCCAGAAGUGCAUCGAAUGCAUUCCACAGGAUGCUAUCCAGUUUAUUGUUUCCACAUUUUAUGAUCAAGUUGUGACAUUGUCCACCCAUCCAUAUGGAUGUCGUGUCAUACAGAGAGUCUUGGAACAUUGCCAUAAUCCUGAAACCCAGAACAUUGUGAUGAAUGAGAUUUUGCAAAACGUUUGCAUGUUGGCGCAAGAUCAAUAUGGGAAUUAUGUUGUGCAGCAUGUACUGGAACACGGAAAGCCUGAGGAGCGUACUUCUAUAAUUACUAAGCUGACGGGACAGAUAGUUCAGAUGAGCCAGCAGAAAUUUGCAUCUAAUGUUGUGGAGAAGUGCUUAAGCUUUGGAACUCCCGAAGAACGUCAGACCUUGGUAAAUGAGAUGAUUGGCACCACUGAUGAAAAUGAAC